UAUAUAGAAUUACAGAAAUAUUUAGUUCCAGAAUCUAUUAGUGUAUUACUGUAAUUUUUGGUAUGGUAUGCUGUAUUAAUGUUACCUCCGCUAAAUAUCUGAUGUACUCAAUCCCUUUGUCACCAUUCACCCUGGUUUUAGCUCUUACGCUUUGGUGUUGGUUCUUGGUCAGUGUUUUAGAACAAUAGACACAAAGUCUACGGUAAGGAAUAGUCUUAACUGGUAAAACUGAGAUAGCUGGAUUUGGAAGGAACUCUUAAUAGUAAUGGAUUUGGGGAUUAUUUAGGUUCCUUGGUUAAUGUUUGUUUCUUUUGUCUGUUUCUUUUUCUUUCGUUUCUACACAUUCAUGCAGUAUUUCAUGGUUCUAUCAAAGCAGCAGUAAAAAAAAAUACUCUUGACGCAUGAAAAUUAACUGUUCUUUUCCCUGGUUCAGCCUGAACUAUAUACCAGGCCCUGCUGAAAAUACCACCCAACAGUUUUCUUCUGCAGCUUAUCCAGUUUCUCUUAAGUGCCCUGUACAUAUUUGAAGCAGCCGACACGAGUCGUUGUUCAUAAAACAGCUUUUGAAAGUUGAGAGCACACCCCUGGAGAACCGACUGUG